GGACCAUGAGCUUCGGCGUCCCA
rnacentral:siRNA from 1 species